AAGCUGGCAUAAAUGACUGAGGAAUUCCCUGCCCUUGCCAGGAAGUCCAAGCCACUUGUGAGCUAACAAUACGGAACUUUAUCUCCCGUCCUAUGCGGGAAGUUCCAGCUGUAGGCUCCAAAUUCUAAUAAGGGCUUUACUCAUGACGCUGAGGUUAGGGUAAUAUUUUAUCCGUCUCCUCUUUUCACUAAGACACAGCCAUUGCCGCUGUUGAGAGCCAGAGGCAAGCCCCGAGGACUGAGUUUCACUUCUGCCUUUGUUAAAGUCUGACCUCAGAUCAUCCAGGAGCUUAGAUCCUGGUUCACAGAAAAUGAAAGACAGACCCGUCAAGGAGAAGACAGGAAUCUUCUGGGGAGUAUGGAGGAGCCAAGCAUGUGACCCCUGUGUAGCAGCUUCCUCUUAAAGAAUCACACAUUCAACUUUCUGGAAGACACAGGAUGGCCCGACCUACAGAGCAGCAUGUAAGAAGAGAGCUCAUCAGAUUCCACCUUCACUCUUGCCAACCCUAGAAGUUGCUAGGUUCAGGGCUACGGUCUGCUGGGAAGGCUCAGGAAGACAGGAUGACACAGGCCUCCUCCACAGCCAUCAGUGAAUGUCAUCCAGAGUUCCACUGGUGAAGAGUGAAUGAACCAAAGUGAUCCAAAUAGCUGCGUGAGGAGCCGUGCAGUCAGACUGGUGGCCGUACGCGCACAUACCAUGAAGAGUGGCAGAGGAGAUCUCCGUGGGGACAGUGGGAGAAGGGAACUUCUGAAAGUACAAGGAGGGCCAGCCAGCUCAGAUUGGCACUGCACAGGGAAAAGCUUGCUUCAGCAACACAAGCUCUCAAGGGAGAUGCUGUCUUAAGGAGUGGGCGUGCUGAGAAUUUAAGUUGUAUGUGUAAUUGACUGUCUUAGUCUCUCUGGGCUGCUAUAACAGAGUAACACCAGCUAGUAAUACAUCCUUAGUUCUUGACACUGCAAUCCAAAGAUCAAGGAGCUAGAAUAUUUGGGACCCAGUGAGGACCCAAGUUCUAGCUCCAAGAUGCCAUCUUUCUCCUCUAUGAGGUGGUUCUCAACCUGGGGGUCAUGAUGCCUUUGACAAACCUCUAUCUCCAAAAACAUCUACAUUAAAAGUCAUAACAGUGUAAAUUUAUAA